GGUGAGUCUUACUGUUGCGGGCUCCGGGGCCGUCGACCAUGCCGCUCGACCUCCACCUCCGCUGGGAAGCUGAGGCGCCAAACGGCUCCCAGAGGGUCCCGGGAAGCGCAUGGUGAGGGUCCCCGGGCCGGCUGUGCAGCGGAAUCGGGCCCUUCCCGGACUCGCGCCCUUCCCGGACUCGCCGCUGGCGAGCGCGUGGAGGGCCCGGCAGGCCUGGCGCGCCUUGGGCCACGCGUGCGCGCCUCCGCCGCUGGAGCUGGAUGGCUGAUGCGGCUCGUGGUCCGAGAGCCUUGUCCUGCCGUGUGGGCCUUGCGGACCUGGGAGCUGGCGGGCGUUGGGAACCGGGCUUAAGCUACUGAGGCGUUUGCUGAUUUCGUCCAUCCAGGUUGGCGCCUGGCUCUCGGGCGUUUGUUCCCUGCAGCAUUCUUUUUCGCUGAAUUUAACCAUGUUGUCUUUAGCUGCAGAAGGUGACAUAUGUAGCGAGUAUUUCUAAGUAAGUUUCACUGUCCUUUCUCCUCCAA
rnacentral:lncRNA from 1 species